rnacentral:snRNA from 1 species
AUGCUCACUUCAGCAGCACAUAGAAUAAUGAUACAAAAAAGAUUAGCAUAGUCCCCGAAGGAGGAUGAUAUGCAGAUUCGUGAAGGAGUUUCUUUUUAC